AUUGAACGCUGGCGGCAGGCCUAACACAUGCAAGUCGAAUGGUAACAGGAAACAGCUUGCUGUUUCGCUGACGAGUGGCGGACGGGUGAGUAAUGUCUGGGAAACUGCCUGAUGGAGGGGGAUAACUACUGGAAACGGUAGCUAAUACCGCAUAACGUCGCAAGACCAAAGAGGGGGACCUUCGGGCCUCUUGCCAUCAGAUGUGCCCAGAUGGGAUUAGCUAGUAGGUGGGGUAACGGCUCACCUAGGCGACGAUCCCUAGCUGGUCUGAGAGGAUGACCAGCCACACUGGAACUGAGACACGGUCCAGACUCCUACGGGAGGCAGCAGUGGGGAAUAUUGCACAAUGGGCGCAAGCCUGAUGCAGCCAUGCCGCGUGUAUGAAGAAGGCCUUCGGGUUGUAAAGUACUUUCAGCGGGGAGGAAGGGAGUAAAGUUAAUACCUUUGCUCAUUGACGUUAUCCGCAGAAGAAGCACCGGCUAACUCCGUG
rnacentral:rRNA from 1 species